GACGAACGCUGGCGGCGUGCCUAAUACAUGCAAGUAGAACGCUGAAGGAGGAGCUUGCUUCUCUGGAUGAGUUGCGAACGGGUGAGUAACGCGUAGGUAACCUGCCUGGUAGCGGGGGAUAACUAUUGGAAACGAUAGCUAAUACCGCAUAAGAGUAGAUGUCGCAUGACAUUUGCUUAAAAGGUGCAAUUGCAUCACUACCAGAUGGACCUGCGUUGUAUUAGCUAGUGGGUGAGGUAACGGCUCACCAAGGCAACGAUACAUAGCCGACCUGAGAGGGGGAUCGGCCACACUGGGACUGAGACACGGCCCAGACUCCUACGGGAGGCAGCAGUAGGGAAUCUUCGGCAAUGGACGGAAGUCUGACCGAGCAACGCCGCGUGAGUGAAGAAGGUUUUCGGAUCGUAAAGCUCUGUUGUAAGAGAAGAACGAGUGUGAGAGUGGAAAGUUCACACUGUGACGGUAUCUUACCAGAAAGGGACGGCUAACUACGUG
rnacentral:rRNA from 1 species